GCGAGCCCCGCGGCCUCCUGGAUUUAUGAGCUGGAGCUACGUGUCCUGCUGCAGGUCUUGGCAGUGGUUCCAUUCCUGGGGUCAGAACUGCCAAGGCUUGUUUUCUGAGAAUCCUCAGCUCGCUUCAGAGAAAAGUCCCCGUGCACAGGCUCCUCCUCGGAGCUCUGUGCCCCACGAUGGGCCGGAAACGGAGCCAGGGCGCGCCCCCCGAGGGUCCCCACGGGCGCCCCCGGGAGGGGAGCCUGAGCCGGCUGGGAGCCACGCUCUGGGCCUUCGCCUCCCUGGAAGCCUUUCUCAGAGCAUCCUCAGCUUCACACCAGCUCCGCCGCCCAGAGCAAGCCCUCUGAGGAACUCUCGGGAGACAAAGCGCACUGGGACCCUCCAUUCGUCACCUGAAGCCUCUCUGAGCUGGCCCGGACCCCCAGGACCAUCGGGUCCCGCAGAGACCCAGCGCAGCCGCCCCUCCCCUCGCCACCCCUCCCCUCGCCUCCCUGGUUUCCUUCUGGCGCAGACUAGUGACCCCCUGGCCCCGGAGGCUCCUUUCUCUGCCCGUCACCACGGCCCCCUUCUCGUCGUUGGCGGAGGCUGCCUCUCCUCCGUGUGACUGUCAGAAAGCGGCGACGGGGCUCCGAGACCACAGCCCGAGCUGGAGGGGCCAGAAGGUCUGGGGCCCUCUGCCCUUCUCUCUCCUGCUUAGGGAACUGAGUCCCAGAAAGGUGGGUGGCCAAGCUGGUGCUCCUCGCUCCUGGGUGACAGAGCAGCGGCCUCCGGCCCGUCCAGGAUUUCUCGUGCUCCUCCAGGUCCCGCCAAAAACCCGCUGUCAUCAGGUCUGGUUCCGCCAUAAUCCUUGGACUCCAUGGAGAAGCUCACACCUGCUGGGACUCAGACACUGGAGAGAGCAGCAUCCGUGACCCGCCCUGCUAACCCGGAAGCGGCUCAUCCGUGGCUCUUCUCGUCGACCCGUGACUCAGAAGGAGAGCUCCUCAGCCUCCCAGGCUCCCUCGAGAGUUCUCGGCUCACAUCACCAACUGGCGGGCCAAUUCCCACAAAUGUCACCCUGGCCUUUAGGGCAGCACUUUGGUGAAGCAGAAAGUGACAAUUAUGGAAGCCGUGUUGGGGAGGAAAGAAACACAAGGGAGGAGCGAGCAGGACUACUUUCCUCAUGGGACUCCAAGAACCACCCCCUCCAGAAGUGAUGGGAAAGAACGGAGAUGUAGAAGGCGUUGCCAUCCCAUAGGGGAGGACACAAGUGGCCACCACGUCCUAGCUAUCUGAACAUCUACAAAAAUAGCUUCAGAAAGUUACCCAUUGGAUUUAUUAAAUAUUUUAAAUACAGCCAACCACAUAUAAUAGAGAUCUGAAUUUUCCUUUUUUUAUGUUCUCUUUAUUUUAUUUAUUUUUUAAAUAGCUUUUUAUUUACAAGUUAUAUGCACGGGUAAUUUUUCAGCAUUGACAUUUGACAAACCUUGUGUUCCAACUUUUCCCCUCCUUUCCCCACCCCUUCCCCCAGAUGGCAGGUUGACCAAUACAUGUUAAAUAUGUUAAAGUAUAAGUUAAAUACAAUAUAUAUACACAUGUCCAAACAGUUAUUUUGCUGUACAGAAAGAACUGGACUCUGAAAUAGUGAACAAUUAACUGUGAAGGAAAUCAAAAAUGCAGGUGGACAAAAAUAGAGGGAUUGGGAAUUCUAUGUAGUAGCUCAUAGUCAUCUCCCAGAGUUCUUUCUCUGGGUAUAGCUGGCUUAAUUCAUUACUGCUCUAUUGGAACUGAUUUGGAUCAUCUCAUUGUUGAAGAGGUCCACGUCCCUCAGAAUUGAGGAUCUGAACUUUCAUAUAGAAGCAUCUUUCUCUGUUAAACUGUCUUUGGCAAUGCCCAUUUUAUUUGGUGUUUAUUAAGUUUAAAUUUUAAAAAAAGAAACAGGUUUUUUUUUCUGCUGAGACAAUCGGGGUUGAGUGACUUGCGUACGGUCACACAGCUAAGAAGUGUGAGAUCAUAUUUGAACUCAGGUCCUCCUGACUUCAGGGCUGGUGCUCUAUCCACUGUGCCACUGAGCUGUCCCAUGAAACAUUUUUUAAAAGAAGGAAUUUGACUUGGGAGAUUGAAUGACAAAAAUCACUCAUAUUGGGAUACAUUGAAAUGAGCCUGAAAUUUCUCUUUUUCUUUCUUUCUUUUUUAAUUUUUUAAAAAAAUUAUAGCUUUUUAUUUUCAAAAUUCAUAUGGAUAAUUUUCGACAUUGGCCCCUACAAAACCCUGUGUUCUAAUUUUUUGCCUCCCUUCUUCCUGCCCCCUCCCCCCAGUGAUUCAACAUAUGAAAUUUCUCAAAGAAGAGGGGUCAGUGGAGCUGAUCACUCAGCAGUCCUUACCUACUGUCUCUCAACAAAAUGUUGGCAGUAAUUGGAACUGAUUCCAUUCUAUUCAAGAUGCUGGUGGGGCUGUGCAAAGGACAAGCAGGGAGUCAUUUAACUGCCCUCUUGGAGCAUCCACACAGCCUAUUCCGGAGUUUGGGACAAUAAGAGGCAGGAGGUUACUGGGAACACCUCCAGCUCUGCAAUCUCCCACUCUUAGCUUGGUGAUUUCCCAGGAUGGGAAGAGUGGGAAGAGAGGAUGGAAGGAAGUGAGAAGGAAACAGGAGAACAGGAGGACCAUACGAAUGGGACAUGGGAAUGGCCAAGGAGCACCGCGCUGAAUCGAAGACUUACCCCAUGGACCUGAAUUCACUGAAAAUCCACCAGGUCAAAAAUCAUCCAUGGCUUGUGCCCAAGUGCUCCUAAUCCCACUCUUAAUUGGUUCCAGAAAGAUGAUCCUGAAGUCUUCUCCUGACCAUCCGGAGAUCUUAGGCUCGGGAGCCUUGUGGCUGCAGGACAGCUGCCCGCUGGCACGUGAGUGCCCGUAAACACACAUUCCCACACUAGGCUGCCGGGUGCUAGUGGGGAUGGGAACCAGGCGUGGGCACUCUGGCGAUCAGGAGCAAUCCCUGCUCUAAAUCACAAUCAAAGAGAGUGCCCCAGAAGCCCGGCCAGGUCCGGGCAAUGCCCCCUGCAAUCUGCAGGCCCGGGAGGGAGGCAGGGGUGGAAGCCUGGGGCAGAUCUGAA